AUCCAGCAGACAAGUCUCAAAUAGGACUAAACGCGCGUCCUGGAU
rfam:Schistosoma mansoni strain Puerto Rico chromosome 4, complete genome